rnacentral:rRNA from 1 species
UCCUACGGGAGGCAGCAGUAGGGAAUCUUCGGCAAUGGACGAAAGUCUGACCGAGCAACGCCGCGUGAGUGAAGAAGGUUUUCGGAUCGUAAAACUCUGUUGUUAGAGAAGAACAAGGACGUUAGUAACUGAACGUCCCCUGACGGUAUCUAACCAGAAAGCCACGGCUAACUACGUGCCAGCAGCCGCGGUAAUA